GGGUAUAUAGCUCAAGUGGUAGAGUGCAUGCUUAGCAUGCACGAGGUCAUGGGUUCAAUUCCCAGUGCCUCCU
rnacentral:tRNA from 1 species